GUUUAAUAUAAAACAUGGCACCAGGUGUAUCAUAUAGCCGAAGCUCGAAUGCAUGAACAUGUUGUUUGGUCAAUGCCGGUAUCGAUGGGCUACUAUCCAUUAUGAUGAACCAAAUGGACAGUAUGAUGGUCACUACAGAUAAUACGAUAGCCAACCACAUUGGACGAUAUGAUUGUCGAACCUUAUUUGUGAUUAUUGAAUCUAGUAUCAAACAUAAUAUGUUGAAUAUGACACAUGUGAUCAACAUCGAUGUUCGAUUGUACAUGAGGGCCAAUAUGCUAUAUACAUUGGCAAAUACGUAAAUUGCCAUGGCCAAAACGCUCAAUAGAAACAAAAUGAUCUUGGUACGUUGUACGUCAGCAUCUACACCCACAAAAAGACCUUGAUGAGAUCGGUGAUACGAACGAUUUGCACCAAUUAAAAGGAUAAUAAUGGCCAAUAAACGUACAAUAUCCAAAACCAGUAAUGUAAUGCGAAUCGAUGAUGCUUUGGUCGAUGUGGUCAAAACGGGCCAUAUUUCAAUUCCUUGUGACCAAUUGGCCGAUAUUUGCAUACAGAAUUUGAUAGCAAUAAUGGAGACUAUCAGACUGAUAGCCAUCAGGAUCCAGAACCGUGUCUUAUGUAAAUGAGAGGCCAUUAUUACGUCGAGAAAAAUACAGACCAAAUUGAAUGUUACAAACGUAACAUACAUAACCCAAUGUCGACUAAUUAUUGAUAUUAAACCAGCAAUAUUGGUAAGAAGAUAGUAUGCGAUCAUUAUAGUAGUCAAUACCAGAAGAUAAUACUAAUCCAGUUAUAAUAUAACGGUUAAUAGUUAGAUUGGAUCAUCAUCACUAAAAAAUGGUGACUUACCUUUUCCCGUUGAUAUGAUAUAUUAAUUUCAUUCAAACCUAAUCGAUCACCUAGAAAGCCUUGAUAUUGACGUUUAUAGGCAAUAUUUUCAAUAAUACACAAUAUCAUACAAAUAGGAACACGAGCGACCAACAAUAUCAACAAUAACAAACGUAAUGGACCACCACCAUCAUCAUUUGAAUCAUCACUUACUUUUACUGCGUUGGCAGACAUUUAUGUUGUGUGAAUAGAUAAUAUCGCUUUGUGGCUUUCGAUCUUGGUUAAUUAUCACUACCACCCACCACCACCAAAAAAAAAACAACACUUUUUGAACUUGUGAGAUGAUUAUUGAAGAAAAAAAUUCAGAUUUAUUAACAACAAACACAGAAUUUUAUUAAAUGACGAAAUAUACAAA